GUUGUUUUUCAAUAACAACCUUUAUAGUUGUUUUUUUCUUUCUUUCUGCCCAUUAUUCAAAGUUGUAUAUUGCAUUAGUUGUUAAUAAUGAAAAUUUGACACUUUAAAACUUUUUUUUUUCUUUUAACAUUUUGGAGAUGAAUCUGCCUUAAGAGGUAUUAUUUCUAGAUUGUUCUGAACGAUUAUAGUGGACACAUUGACAAUCCUCUUGAAGACGAGAUAUGACGAUUAUUGUGUAAGUGAAUUCCAGCCGUGGGCUGUAUGUAGUAAUAGGAGAAAUGGCUUGGGGGAGGUUGAAUUCUUUGGUUUACUUUCAGUUAUUCGCACUUGCUGUGGACCUGUCACUUUUUUAGUGUAAACAACCUUUUAUUCACAUAUGCUGAGGACUGUUUCAUGUCCUGAGGCCCACAGAACCAGUCAUCUGGCCAUUUUGGAACUGUGAGUGAUGUCACUGGAGGUGCGUGUAUAGAGGGAAUGUCCAUUAGCUGCAGUGGUGGUGGUGGGAGUGGGGUUGGGCGGAGACCUGAAUACAGAGAAGGUUGUGGAAAACCUGGGACAGUGUCUGUUGCCCAGGCUGGAGUGCAGUGACACGAUCACAGCUCACUGCAGCCUCAAACUGUGGGACUCAAGUGACCCUCCUGCCUCAGCCUCCUGAGUAGCUGAGACUACGGGCACGUGCCACCGAGCCCAGCUAAGUUUUUUAGAGACAAGGUCUGGCUAUGUCGU
rnacentral:lncRNA from 1 species